GGCUCGCCCGGCGCCUGUCAGCCGUCACGUGCUGGAGCGGCCCGGGAGCCUGGCUGUGGGCGGCGGGGCAUGGACCCUCAGGCAGCCUCCGGUCCCGGGCCGGGCGAGCCGAGUGCGCGGGAGGCCCCCGGCACGGAGGCUGGCUUUGCCACAGCUGACCUGUCUGGUCGGGAGACAGAGACUGCACUGGCCGAGGAUCGACUAGGCAAGUAGACAGCAGAGACUGGGGUGGCUGUGGGAUGAGCUGAAGAGAGAACAGCACAGGCCCUCUGUCUUGUCUAUCUUCUCUUGCUAGCUGACCCUCUUUGCCCAUUGUCUCAGUAAAUGGUCUGGAAGUUUCCAGGUGGCACUCGAUGCCCAUGGAUCCAGACCACCCUGUUUCACUGGGACCGUGGAAAGCAUCUAGUGUACGUAGCUAGGAAUUUCCAGUCCUGGGGCUUGCGUUUUUCAUCCUUAGAUAAGUCUUUAUCUUUAAAGUGGGUUAUAGUACCUCCUAGGGUUGACUGGGAAGAGCUUUAAUGAUACUGCCCAAUACACUGGUCACUAUGUAGCUCUGUGGUGUACUGUUCUAGCCUGUAGGAAAGUUGCAAUGGGUAGUGCUGCUCUCUACAGCCUGAGCAUAGAAUGGGUAUGAUCAGAGCAGGUGCUAAGUGCACACUGAUUUUCAAGCACAGAUCCAACUGUUUCCUUUUUUUCCCCCUAAAUAAACUCAUAACAACCUGAUGACUGUUUCACCAAUGAGAAACUUAAGGUACACAGUAAAGUCUUAAAAUGCAGCAAAAGCUAUAUACUUGCCUUUACCACUGAACUAUAUUAAAGCAUAUGAUGUGCUUCAUCCAGCUCCGUGACACUGUGUACAACUGUCACUGCUGCAUCUAGGUUUUCAUGACACCAAAAGGAAGUCCUGUACCUGGAGUAAACGCUCUCCACUCUUAGUUUUGAGCCCCUAACUACUGAUAGCUUCUCCCACCCCUAACGAUUCACCUGUUAUGGACAUGCAAGUGUGAAUUGACAGUAAAUGAAGUUAUACAACACAAGGCCCCUCAUGUCCCUGCUUCCUUGAACUCGGCACAUUUCCAAGGUUCAUUCCUGUAGCAGCCUGUGUCAGCAUCCAUCACUCACGAGACUGAGCACGUCCACCAUUCUGCAUUUUGUGGAUCAUUCAUUCACUGAUGAUAUUUGGUGACUCAAUGGUGCCUCAGUGAACAUUUUUUCUGACUGAAGUGUUUUUUAUAGUUCUUUUGGGUGUACCGUUUCGAGUAGAGUUGCCAGGGCAUGUGAUAUCUCUGUUAAAAGUUACUGAGGAAUCAGUAGCUUCAGUGUCAGCUCAGAACCGAUCUGACCUGAGGCAAUCUGUCUCCAGAUUCUGUACUCUCCACUGAAUUGCUUUAUAGCUGUGACAACAAUCUUAAUGCCAUGGCUGUUUCCGGCCACUUCCUUCCUUUCCUCAGACCUGGUAUUACUACAGCAGCAGAGUUUUGGAGGUCCAUUGUCCAUCUGUAGGCUUUGUUGAGUUACUGUGUGGCUUCCCUGAAUUCAGGAGGAAGAUAGUGGGAACUGGACAGGCCCUGUUCUGUUUUUCUCUGUGUACUUGAAUCUAACAGGCUUCAAAAGGAAAAGUGGGACGCGGCCUGAAAUAGCAGAAGCACACUUUGCCAGAGGCCUUUGGGUUCAUUGUAAACUACCUGAAGAUGCCCCUUACACUGUACUGAGUGGCCUUGUUUAAGACAAACAUCUUGGAAAAAAACCAAUCAACUUCAUUUCCAAAAUAUAAGCUAAAUACUCCACCAGUGGAGCUCAGAGCAUCCCUACUGACAUUCCUACCUAUGCCGAGGGCCCAGGCUCUGAGGAGGAAGACUUUGCAGUGGAGAAGGAAGCUGAUGGGGAUCUGUAUGCCUGGGAGCCGUCAGAGGGUCCACCCUGCCCACCCAUGGAACAGGCUGCCGAGCUUUUUAACGAGGACUGGGACUUGGAGCUGAAAGCGGACCAAGGGAAUCCUUACGAUGCUGAUGACAUCCAGGGGAGCAUUUCCCAAGAGAUUAAACCUUGGGUGUGCUGUGCGCCACAAGGAGAUAUGAUAUAUGACCCCAGUUGGCACCAUCCACCUCCACUGAUACCACAUUACUCGAAGAUGGUCUUCGAAACAGGACAGUUUGACGAUGCCGAAGACUAAAAGUGUCACUUUCUGCAGUGGGGGAGUUUUUGUGUCCUCCAGAUCACGAGUCGUUUCCUGUGUUUUAAGUGAGAUACUCUUUCCAAGACAUCGUUCCCAGCGACUCCUCAGUGUGGGCUACAGACAGGCAUUAACUGGGACGUUGUUGUUGUUGCUGCUGUUGUUGUUGUUGUUGUUGUUAAUGGACUCUGGAGUGUGUUGGAAUUUUUGUCUCUGUUAGAGUUGUGUUCUUUAUAAAUAAAGUUAGGGGAAAAUAACCUAA